rnacentral:rRNA from 1 species
UACGGGGGGGGCAAGCGUUGUUCGGAAUUACUGGGCGUAAAGGGCGCGUAGGCGGCCUGUUAAGUCACACGUGAAAUCCCUCGGCUCAACCGGGGAACUGCGUGUGAUACUGGCGGGCUUGAAUUCGGGAGAGGGAUGUGGAAUUCCAGGUGUAGCGGUGAAAUGCGUAGAUAUCUGGAGGAACACCUAUGGCGAAGGCAGCUCGCUGGGACGUUACUGACGCUGAGACGCGAAAGCGUGGGGAGCAAACAGG